rnacentral:rRNA from 1 species
UACAGAGGUCCCGAGCGUUGUUCGGAUUCAUUGGGCGUAAAGGGUGCGUAGGCGGCGGGGCAAGUCUGAUGUGGAAAUCCCGGGGCUCAACCCCGGAACUGCAUUGGAUACUGCCUUGCUAGAGUACUGGAGAGGGAACUGGAAUUUACGGUGUAGCAGUGAAAUGCGUAGAGAUCGUAAGGAAGGCCAGUGGCGAAGGCGAGUUCCUGGACAGUUACUGACGCUGAGACGCGAAAGCGUGGGGAGCGAACAGG